rnacentral:misc_RNA from 1 species
UCCCCGUUCACCGAGGCAGUCCCCUCAGAGUGCCCGGCAUCACCCGGUAGCAACAGAGGGCAAGGGUUGCGCUCGUUGCGGGACUUAACCCAACAUCUCACGACACGAGCUGACGACAGCCAUGCAGCACCUGUGCCCCAGCCCCGAAGGGAAGACGCCUUUCAGCGCCGGUCUGGGGCAUGUCAAACCCAGGUAAGGUUCUUCGCGUUGCGUCGAAUUAAACCACAUGCUCCACCGCUUGUGCGGGCCCCCGUCAAUUCCUUUGAGUUUCAGCCUUGCGGCCGUACUCCCCAGGCGGGGCACUUAAUGCGUUAGCGCCGGCACCCAGGGGGUCGCUCCCCCAGGCACCUAGUGCCCAUCGUUUACGGCGUGGACUAC